AAUGAACGCUGGCGGCAGGCCUAACACAUGCAAGUCGAACGGAUCCUUCGGGAUUAGUGGCGGACGGGUGAGUAACGCGUGGGAACAUACCCAAAGGUACGGAAUAGCCUCGGGAAACUGGGAGUAAUACCGUAUGUGGUCGAGAGACGAAAGAUUUAUCGCCUGUGGAUUGGCCCGCGUUGGAUUAGGUAGUUGGUGGGGUAAUGGCCUACCAAGCCGACGAUCCAUAGCUGGUUUGAGAGGAUGAUCAGCCACACUGGGACUGAGACACGGCCCAGACUCCUACGGGAGGCAGCAGUGGGGAAUCUUAGACAAUGGGGGAAACCCUGAUCUAGCCAUGCCGCGUGAUCGAUGAAGGCCUUAGGGUUGUAAAGAUCUUUCAGAUGGGAAGAUAAUGACGGUACCAUCAGAAGAAGCCCCGGCUAACUCCGUGCCAGCCGCCGCCGUAA
rnacentral:rRNA from 1 species